AAGGAGUCAAACUUUAGAGGAAAGGAACAAGAGUCUGAAACAGCACAGGAAUGAGGUGCAACACAAGGAGUCAAACUUUAGAGGAAAGGAACAAGAGUCUGAAACAGCACAGGAAUGAGGUGCAACACAAGGAGUGAGAAUGAGAAAAGAGACAAGUCAGACACAUUGAAAAACAGAAAGAGCCCUGUAUUUUCCUCUGUCCUACCACUUUGUAUUUUCACUGUGAAGCAAGUUAAGGUUAUAGUUCUUGUUAAAGUUCUCUGUAGCAAUUACUUUGUAAGAGUGCUACAACAGGAAUGAAAUAGAAUUGAA
ensembl:lncRNA